UGGGGAAUCUUGCGCAAUGGGCGAAAGCCUGACGCAGCAACGCCGCGUGUGUGAUGAAGGUCUUCGGAUCGUAAAGCACUGUCGCGAGGGACGAAUAAGGGGCGGGCUAACAUCCCGUUCCGAUGACGUA
rnacentral:rRNA from 1 species